AACAUUGUCGUUUUCAAAACUCCUCAGUGCCCUAAUGUGACCGUGAGCACCCACCCCUCCAUGCUAGGAGGCUGGCCUCACCCCUCAUCGUGUCUCUUCUCUCUGUGUGUCUUUCUUGUUACUGUCUCCCUCAAGCUCUGUCACCUCUAUCACGGCUGGUGUCGGUGUUGCAAUCAACCCCUAUCAUCUCUGGGAGCUUGCUUAUCUCUCGCGCCGGAAGUCACCGUUUGGCACUCGAGGUCGCCGUUUACUUUCAUCAUGUUAAGCUCGUCAUGCUUUGUCGCGGCCUCAAGCUCGUCGCAGUCUGUCGUCACCGUCUAAAGGUCAGUUGCCGCCUUCCUGCGGUCGCUUCCUCGAUAGCAUAAGCAGACCAAACCAACAACUGGUCCCUCGGGUGGUGGUUGUUGUUGUCUUAUUGCUUUGACCGCCAGUUCAAUUGGUCAUCUACCUUCGUCGUCAGUUGGUCCUUGGAUAAUAAUGGCAUCAACUAGUAAGUUUGAUGAGGAGCUGUGUAUGUGGAAUGAGCCAGUUGGGGAUUACUGGAUGGAUGGCAAUGUUGGUGUUUUAAAUCAACAGGUACAAUGUGUAUACCUUGAAAUUCGUAUGUCUACAAUGUGAGUUGAUUAGAAGUAGAUAGGUAUGCGCUAUUAGAUUUAUUAUAGCAGUUAGUAGGGAUUGAUAAGCAUGUCAUAUUUGCAAUUUGUUAAAUGAGUUUGGUGGAGUGAUUAUGGAAUUGGUAGUAUUGGCAGUAGGUAUGAGGGUUAUGUUGCUAGAACUGUUAUUUUUUGUGCUGAGGAUAAUGUCACGAAUCUGGUAUGUAAAAAAAAGGAAUAUUGGUGUUUUUUGUUAAGCAGGGCGUGGCUGUAGUAUUUGAAGGAUCUAUGCUCUAAGUUGGGGAAAAGGUGUCCCCUCUAACAUUUUAAAAAAAUAUAAGAAAGUAUAUAUAUAAAUACAUUUGUGCUCCCGUUGAAAAUUUA